rnacentral:rRNA from 1 species
GAUGAACGCUGGCGGCGUGCCUAAUACAUGCAAGUAGAACGCUGAAGCUUGGUGCUUGCACCGAGCGGAUGAGUUGCGAACGGGUGAGUAACGCGUAGGUAACCUGCCUCUUAGCGGGGGAUAACUAUUGGAAACGAUAGCUAAUACCGCAUAAAAGUCGACAUCGCAUGAUGUUGACUUGAAAGGUGCAAUUGCAUCACUAAGAGAUGGACCUGCGUUGUAUUAGCUAGUUGGUGAGGUAACGGCUCACCAAGGCGACGAUACAUAGCCGACCUGAGAGGGUGAUCGGCCACACUGGGACUGAGACACGGCCCAGACUCCUACGGGAGGCAGCAGUAGGGAAUCUUCGGCAAUGGGGGCAACCCUGACCGAGCAACGCCGCGUGAGUGAAGAAGGUUUUCGGAUCGUAAAGCUCUGUUGUAAGAAAAGAACGAGUGUGAGAGUGGAAAGUUCACACUGUGACGGUAACUUACCAGAAAGGGACGGCU